GAUGAACGCUGGCGGCGUGCCUAAUACAUGCAAGUCGAGCGAACAGACGAGGAGCUUGCUCUUCUGAUGUUAGCGGCGGACGGGUGAGUAACACGUGGAUAACCUACCUAUAAGACUGGGAUAACUUCGGGAAACCGGAGCUAAUACCGGAUAAUAUUUUGAACCGCAUGGUUCAAAAGUGAAAGACGGUCUUGCUGUCACUUAUAGAUGGAUCCGCGCUGCAUUAGCUAGUUGGUAAGGUAACGGCUUACCAAGGCAACGAUGCAUAGCCGACCUGAGAGGGUGAUCGGCCACACUGGAACUGAGACACGGUCCAGACUCCUACGGGAGGCAGCAGUAGGGAAUCUUCCGCAAUGGGCGAAAGCCUGACGGAGCAACGCCGCGUGAGUGAUGAAGGUCUUCGGAUCGUAAAACUCUGUUAUUAGGGAAGAACAUAUGUGUAAGUAACUAUGCACGUCUUGACGGUACCUAAUCAGAAAGCCACGGCUAACUACGUG
rnacentral:rRNA from 1 species